UACGAGGGGGGGCGAGCGUUGUUCGGAAUUAUUGGGCGUAAAGGGCGCGUAGGCGGUGCGGUAAGUCACCUGUGAAACCUCUGGGCUUAACUCAGAGCCUGCAGGCGAAAACUGCCGUGCUGGAGUGUGGGAGAGGUGCGUGGAAUUCCCGGUGUAGCGGUGAAAUGCGUAGAUAUCAGGAGGAACACCAAUUGCGAAGGCAGCUCGCUGGGACGUUACUGACGCUGAGACGCGAAAGCGUGGGGAGCAAACAGG
rnacentral:rRNA from 1 species